UACGGAGGGGGCUAGCGUUGUUCGGAAUUACUGGCGUAAAGCGCGCGCAGGCGGUUCUUCAAGUCAGUGGUGAAAGCCCGGAGCUCAACUCCGGAACUGCCAUUGAAACUGUGGAACUUGAGGAUGAGAGAGGUGAGUGGAAUUCCCAGUGUAGAGGUGAAAUUCGUAGAUAUUGGGAAGAACACCGGUGGCGAAGGCGGGCUCACUGGCUCAUUCUGACGCUCGGCGCGACAGCGUGG
rnacentral:rRNA from 1 species